AGAGUUUGAUCCUGGCUCAGGAUGAACGCUAGCGGCAGGCCUAACACAUGCAAGUCGAGGGGUAGUUACUUUCGGGUAAUGAGACCGGCGCACGGGUGCGUAACGCGUAUGCAAUCUACCUUUUACAGGGGAAUAGCCCAGAGAAAUUUGGAUUAAUGCCCCAUAGUAUGUAUGAAUCGCAUGGUUUAUACAUUAAAGUUCCAACGGUAAAAGAUGAGCAUGCGUCCCAUUAGUUAGUUGGUAAGGUAACGGCUUACCAAGACUAUGAUGGGUAGGGGUCCUGAGAGGGAGAUCCCCCACACUGGUACUGAGACACGGACCAGACUCCUACGGGAGGCAGCAGUGAGGAAUAUUGGACAAUGGGCGCAAGCCUGAUCCAGCCAUGCCGCGUGCAGGAAGAAGCAUCUAUGGUGUGUAAACUGCUUUUGUACAGGAAGAAACACUCCCUCGUGAGGGAGCUUGACGGUACUUAAGAAUA
rnacentral:rRNA from 1 species